GAUGAACGCUAGCGGCAGGCUUAAUACAUGCAAGUCGAGGGGCAGCAGUCCCGCAGCAAUGCGGGAGCUGGCGACCGGCAAACGGGUGCGGAACACGUACAGAACCUUCCUUCGAGCGGGGAAUAGCCCAGAGAAAUUUGGAUUAAUACCCCAUAGCAUUACGAAGUGGCAUCACUUUGUAAUUAAAGAUUUAUCACUCGAAGAUGGCUGUGCGGCUGAUUAGGUAGUUGGCGGAGUAACGGCCCA
rnacentral:rRNA from 1 species